rfam:Strongyloides papillosus strain LIN genome assembly, scaffold: SPAL_contig0001428
CCAACGGCCCUCUUUAGGGCCACCAUUCUUGGCUUAAUUUCUCAUU